CUCAUGCGUGCGUGCUGGCCUGUUGGGCUUCAGUUGUUUUGGGUUAUGGGCUUUUACUGGGUUGCGGAGGAGUGCCGCCGGAGGAAGUCGUCGGCGGCGGCGUUCAACCGCAAGGGGUGGCGGCAGGUCAUGGAGGGCGGCCAGCUGCCGGCGAGCAGCUCUGAGAAGAGGGAGGUAAGCUGCGGGGAGCACCGGGAGGAAGGAGAGAGUAGUCGGGAAAGGAGGAUGGCGAAGCGUUUCCGUCGGGUCCGCCACCAGCAAUUGCUCGUCGGAGAGGCCGGAAUCAGUUGUCAACGUCGGUCGGGUGGAAGGUACGUUAUUUGGUCAGUGUUCGUAUGAGACAUCAACGGAUGGCCGCAUCUACUUCAACCAGGGCUGGAAGGAGUUCCUCAUUGGGACUGGUCUUGGGGUUGGCACAACUGUGCUAAUCACCAUGAAGACCAAUGUGCUCAAUGAACUAAACAUGAUGGUUGCCCUUGACACCAUCUAAGUACCAGUUGAGGUCAAUAAGCGGAGUCAUAGCAGUAAUUGGGGUACUUAGCCUCUAAGUAGGUAUCAACUAUCAACCAUAUGUAAUCGGCCUCGAGUCCUGAACUAGUUUGAACGUGUGUUGUUGAUGUGUCGCAACUUUUAUCAUUCCCGCAAGUGAACCAUACAUAUAUAUGUAUGUGCUUGUGCA